rnacentral:piRNA from 1 species
UUUGAAAAUUCUAAGAAGAUU